GAACCCGGAGAUAGCUGGUUCUCCCCGAAAUAGCUUUAGGGCUAGCGUCGCGGUAAAGAUUACUGGAGGUAAAGCACUGAAUGAGCUAGGGGCCGAGAGGUUACCGAACUCUAUCAAACUCUGAAUACCGGAUAAUUGAUGAACGGGAGUCAGACUGUGGGAGAUAAGUUUCAUAGUCGAAAGGGAAACAGCCCAGACCUACAUCUAAGGUCCCAAAAUAGAUUUAAGUGGAGAAGGAUGUGGGGUUGCACAGACAACCAGGAUGUUGGCUUAGAAGCAGCCACUCAUUAAAAGAGUGCGUAAUAGCUCACUGGUCGAGUGACCCUGCGCCGAAAAUUUAACGGGGCUAAAAUCUAUACCGAAGAUUAGGAUGCAUUUUAAUGCAUGGUAGGAGAGCGUUCCAUAAGGGGUGAAGCCGUAGCGUAAGCGGCGGUGGACUUUAUGGAAGUGAAAAUGCCGGAAUGAGUAGCGCGAAUUAUGUGAGAAUCAUAAUGGCCGAAAGCCUAAGGUUUUUGAAGGAAGGUUCGUCCGCUUCAAGUUAGCCGGGAGCUAAGGUGAGGCCGAAAGGCGUAGCCGAUGCACAUACGGUAGACAUUCCGUAGCCGCUGGACGAUUUAAACAGAGGGACACUUUUGAAGGGCAUGACCCGGGCGAUGGUAGCCCCGGGCGUAAGGGAGUGCAAUUGCGCACGAAGCAUGCUUGGAUGGAGGCGAGAAAAGCUCUGUGAAUAUCAACAGCGCCCGUACCGCAAACCGACACAGGUAGGCAGGAGGAGGACUCUAAGGCCAACGGGAGAAGAGUUGUUAAGGAACUCGGCAAAUUGACCCCGUAACUUCGGGAAAAGGGGUGCUCUGGAAACAGAGCCGCAGUGAAUAGGCCCAGGCAACUGUUUAUCAAAAACACAGGUCUCUGCUAAAUCGAAAGAUGACGUAUAGGGGCUGACGCCUGCCCGGUGCUGGAAGGUUAAGAGGAGGAGUGCAAGCUCUGAAUUGAAGCCCCAGUAAACGGCGGCCGUAACUAUAACGGUCCUAAGGUAGCGAAAUUCCUUGUCGGGUAAGUUCCGACCCGCACGAAUGGCGUAAUGAUCUGGGCACUGUCUCAACAGCUCACCCGGCGAAAUUGUAGUACCGGUAAAGAUGCCGGUUACCCGCGACAAGACGGAAAGACCCCAUGGAGCUUUACUGCAGCCUGAUAUUGGGUUUUGGUAUUUUAUGUACAGGAUAGGCGGGAGGCUAUGAAGCUAGGGCGCCAGCUCUAGUGGAGCCACCCUUGGGAUACCGCUCUUAAAGUACUGG
rnacentral:rRNA from 1 species